UCACCAUCUGCUAUGGUUGAUGCAGGCUUACUAUUUCAUCAGUUUUUGAGAUUCCUCCAAUCAACUCAGCCUUCCACUGUUCCAUCUACAUCUGAAACAGUUGGUAAGUUUAAGAGUCAAUUCUUUUUCAGUAGUGUAUUGAUU
rnacentral:lncRNA from 1 species